rnacentral:rRNA from 1 species
UACGGAGGGUGCAAGCGUUCAUCGGAAUUACUGGGCGUAAAGCGCACGCAGGCGGUUGGAUAAGUUAGAUGUGAAAACCCCGGGCUCAAACUGGGAAUUGCAUUUAAAACUGUCCAGCUAGAGUCUUGUAGAGGGGGGUAGAAUUCCAGGUGUAGCGGUGAAAUGCGUAGAGAUCUGGAGGAAUACCGGUGGCGAAGGCGGCCCCCUGGACAAAGACUUGCGCUCAGGUGCGAAAGCGUGGGGAGCAAACAGG